UCGAGAAUCUUCCGCAAUGGGCGCAAGCCUGACGGAGCAAUGCCGCGUGAGGGAUGACGGCCUUCGGGUUGUAAACCUCUGUCAUCCGGGACGAAACCAAUGACGGUACCGGAAAAGGAAGCCACGGCUAACCACGUGCCAGCAGCCGCGGUAACACGUGGGUGGCGAGCGUUAUUCGGAUUUACUGGGCGUAAAGGGUCCGCAGGGGGCCUGCCACGCCCGCCGUGAAAUUUCAGGGCUCAACCCUGAACCUGCGGCGGGUACGGGCGGGCUGGAGUGGAGGAAGGGCAGACGGAAUUCCAGGUGUAGCGGUGGAAUGCGUAGAUAUCUGGAGGAACACCGAUGGCGAAGGCGGUCUGCUGGCCUGCAACUGACCCUCAUGGACGAGAGCGUGGGUAGCAAACAGG
rnacentral:rRNA from 1 species